rnacentral:rRNA from 1 species
CCUACGGGCGGCAGCAGUGAGGAAUAUUGGUCAAUGGGCGAGAGCCUGAACCAGCCAAGUCGCGUGAAGGAUGACGGCCCUACGGGUUGUAAACUUCUUUUGUCAGGGAGCAAUUGAGUCCACGUGUGGGCUUAGCGAGAGUACCUGAAGAAAAAGCAUCGGCUAACUCCGUGCCAGUAGCCGCGGUAAUACGGAGGAUGCGAGCGUUAGCCGGAUUUAUUGGGUUUAAAGGGUGCGUAGGCGGAAUAUCAAGUCAGCGGUAAAAUUUCGGGGCUCAACCCCGCCGUGCCGUUGAAACUGAUGUUCUUGAGUGGGCGAGAAGUAUGCGGAAUGCGUGGUGUAGCGGUGAAAUGCAUAGAUAUCACGCAGAACUCCGAUUGCGAAGGCAGCAUACCGGCGCCCAACUGACGCUGAAGCACGAAAGCGUGGGUAUCGAACAGGAUUAGAUACCCUAGUAGUC